rnacentral:rRNA from 1 species
AGAGCGAACGCUGGCGGCAGGCUUAACACAUGCAAGUCGAGCGGGCGUAGCAAUACGUCAGCGGCAGACGGGUGAGUAACGCGUGGGAACGUACCUUUUGGUUCGGAACAACCCAGGGAAACUUGGGCUAAUACCGGAUAAGCCCUUACGGGGAAAGAUUUAUCGCCGAAAGAUCGGCCCGCGUCUGAUUAGCUAGUUGGUGAGGUAAUGGCUCACCAAGGCGACGAUCAGUAGCUGGUCUGAGAGGAUGAUCAGCCACAUUGGGACUGAGACACGGCCCAAACUCCUACGGGAGGCAGCAGUGGGGAAUAUUGGACAAUGGGCGCAAGCCUGAUCCAGCCAUGCCGCGUGAGUGAUGAAGGCCCUAGGGUUGUAAAGCUCUUUUGUGCGGGAAGAUAAUGACGGUACCGCAAGAAUAAGCCCCGGCUAACUUCGCGCCAGCAGCCGC